GGCGGGCUGGAAUCUCUCGGGGUUACAGCCUUGCUGAAUUAUUCACCCUUGUCUUUUGCGUACUUCUUGUUUCCUUGGUGGGUUCGCCCAACAAACAUAAACCUUUUGUAAUUGCAAUCAGCGUCAGUAACAAAUUAAUAAUUACAACUUUCAACAACGGAUCUCUUGGUUCUGGCAUCGAUGAAGAACGCAGCGAAAUGCGAUAAGUAGUGUGAAUUGCAGAAUUCAGUGAAUCAUCGAAUCUUUGAACGCACAUUGCGCCCUUUGGUAUUCCAAAGGGCAUGCCUGUUCGAGCGUCAUUUGUACCCUCAAGCUUUGCUUGGUGUUGGGCGUCUUGUCUCUAGCUUUGCUGGAGACUCGCCUUAAAGUAAUUGGCAGCCGGCCUACUGGUUUCGGAGCGCAGCACAAGUCGCACUCUCUAUCAGCCAAGGUCUAGCAUCCAUUAAGCCUUUUUUCAACUUUUGACCUCGGAUCAGGUAGGGAUACCCGCUGAACUU
rnacentral:rRNA from 1 species